UACGUAGGGUGCAAGCGUUGUCCGGAAUUAUUGGGCGUAAAGAGCUCGUAGGCGGUCUGUCGCGUCUGCUGUGAAAACUCAGGGCUUAACCCUGAGCUUGCAGUGGGUACGGGCAGACUAGAGUGCGGUAGGGGAGACUGGAAUUCCUGGUGUAGCGAUGAAAUGCGCAGAUAUCAGGAGGAACACCGGUGGCGAAGGCGGGUCUCUGGGCCGUAACUGACGCUGAGGAGCGAAAGCAUGGGGAGCGAACAGG
rnacentral:rRNA from 1 species